rnacentral:rRNA from 1 species
UACGUAGGGUGCGAGCGUUAAUCGGAAUUACUGGGCGUAAAGCGUGCGUAGGCGGUUCGUUGUGUCAGUGGUGAAAGCCCCGGGCUUAACCUGGGAAUGGCCAUGGAAACUGGCGAGCUGGAGUGUGGCAGAGGGGGGUGGAAUUCCGCGUGUAGCAGUGAAAUGCGUAGAGAUGCGGAGGAACACCGAUGGCGAAGGCAGCCCCCUGGGCUAACACUGACGCUGAGGCACGAAAGCGUGGGGAGCAAACAGG